UGACAGUACUCCUACGGGGAGGCAGCAGUGGGGGAAUAUUGCACAAUGGGCGCAAGCCUGAUGCAGCCAUGCCGCGUGUGUGAAGAAGGACCUUCGGGUUGUUAAAGCACUUUCAGUCGUGAGGAAGGUAGUGUAGUUAAUAGCUGCAUUAUUUGACGUUAGCGACAGAAGAAGCACCGGCUAACUCCGUGCCAGCAGCCGCGGUAAUACGGAGGGUGCGAGCGUUAAUCGGAAUUACUGGGCGUAAAGCGCAUGCAGGUGGUUUGUUAAGUCAGAUGUGAAAGACCCGGGGCUCAACCUCGGAAUAGCAUUUGAAACUGGCAGACUAGAGUACUGUAGAGGGGGGUAGGAAUUUCAGGUGUAGCGGUGAAAUGCGUAGAGAUCUGAAGGAAUACCGGUGGCGAAGGCGGCCCCCUGGACAGAUACUGACACUCAGAUGCGAAAGCGUGGGGAGCAAACAGGAUUAGAUACCCUGGUAG
rnacentral:rRNA from 1 species